rnacentral:rRNA from 1 species
AUUGAACGCUGGCGGCAGGCCUAAAACAUGCAAGUCGGGCGAGCGGUGGACGGGUGAGUAAUGUAUGGGGAUCUGCCUGAUGGAGGGGGAUAACUACUGGAAACGGUAGCUAAUACCGCAUACCAUCAGAUGAACCCAUAUGGGAUUAGCUUGUAGGUUAGGUAACGGCUCACCUAGGCGACGAACCCUAGCUGGUCUGAGAUGAUGAUCACCCACACUGGGACUUGGACCCGGCCCAGACUCCUACGGGAGGCAGCAGUGGGGAAUAUUGCACGAUGGGCGCAAUCCUGAUUCAGCCAUGCCGCGUGUAUGAAGAAGGCCUUCGUUUUUUAAAGUACUUUCAGUCGGGAGGCGUUACCUACAGAAGAAGCACCGGCUAACUCCGUGCCAGCAGCCGCGGUAAUAC